rnacentral:rRNA from 1 species
UACGAAGGGGGCUAGCGUUGCUCGGAAUCACUGGGCGUAAAGCGCACGUAGGCGGCUUUUUAAGUCAGGGGUGAAAUCCUGGAGCUCAACUCCAGAACUGCCCCUGAUACUGAGAAGCUUGAGUCCGGGAGAGGUGAGUGGAACUGCGAGUGUAGAGGUGAAAUUCGUAGAUAUUCGCAAGAACACCAGUGGCGAAGGCGGCUCACUGGCCCGGUACUGACGCUGAGGUGCGAAAGCGUGGGGAUCAAACAGG